AGCAGCCGCGGUAAUUCCAGCUCCAAUAGCGUAUAUUAAAGUUGCUGACAGUUAAAAAAGCUCGUAGUUGAAUUUUCGGGACCAUCAUGUCGGUCGUGCCUCGGUACGUACUGGUAUUGUUGGUUUCUCCCUUCUGACGAACCAUGAUGUCAUUAAUUUGGUGUCUUGGGGGAAUCAGGACUGUUACUUUGAAAAAAUUAGAGUGUUUAAAGCAGGCUCACGCUUGAAUACAUUAGCAUGGAAUAAUGAAAUAGGACGUUUGAUUCUAUUUUGUUGGUUUCUAGGAUCGACGUAAUGAUUAAUAGGGAUAGUUGGGGGCAUUAGUAUUCAAUUGUCAGAGGUGAAAUUCUUGGAUUUAUUGAAGACUAACUACUGCGAAAGCAUUUGCCAAGGAUGUUUUCAUUAAUCAAGAACGAAAGUUAGGGGAUCGAAGACGAUCAGAUACCGUCGUAGUCUUAACCAUAAACUAUGCCGACUAGGGAUCGGAUGAUGUUAAUUUUUAAUGA
rnacentral:rRNA from 1 species